ACUUAUUCGUUUUUGUAAUGGCGGCCAUCCCCAUUCUGCACAGGACGUUACGUUGCUUUAUAUGGCGAUUCCUGUUCCAUUUGGCUACGUGUGGACGGUUUAGUGCUGUUGGAAGAAGUACCACGUAUUAGAGUUCAGGUUCAGUGGCCUCCUGACCUUUGUCCUGCCCUGAUGCCUGCCAGGAUGCCCAUGGAUAAGAUGAGUUCUGAGUCUUCUCAAUUUUUUUUGUGAGGACUUUAGAAGAGGAUGAGCAUUGAGUAGCAGCAGCAGCAGCUAGUGAAGGAGCACAAAGGAUUAUGUGUUGCAAAAAUCCUCACUAGUACAGGUAUUCUCACUGUUCCCUGUGCAGAGUGGCUUGGAUGCUGCAUUCCUUGGACGCUUGCUACUUAUUGCUGGCGAAGAAGCUUUGGCAUCAUUUGGUUGUAAACUGUCUUCCUGGAGUGUUUGAUGUUAAGAAGACACCAAAGAAGACUGACUGUUGCUGCUGCUCAGAAGACACAAGAGAUGAUGAUCUGGUAUUCUUGUUGUAUGGUCCUCCUCAUCCACAUGCUCGGGACGAAGCUGACGUCUCCUGCCCUUAUCUGCAUCACCAUGGCACUGACUGUAUGUAGUCAGCCCAGACUGGUGACAAGGCCCAGUGCCAUCUCCUCCUCCUCCAGCCUGCAUGAGCUGGAACAUCACAUUUAUAUUACAAAUCCAGGAGCAACAAUGUAGCAACAAUGGGAUGCUGUUGUCUCUACAUACCCUGUUAGUGGCAUUGGCAAUCAAGGUUUCCGAGUGUGGGUCUCGCAGCUCCAGGAUGAAAGUUUGAGGCAGUCCCCCAUCGAAUCCUGCCACACAGCGCACAUGAAC